rnacentral:rRNA from 1 species
UACGGAGGGUGCGAGCGUUGUCCGGAAUCACUGGGCGUAAAGGGCGCGUAGGCGGCAUGCCAAGCGUGUGGUGAAAGCCCGGGGCUCAACCCCGGGUCGGCCGUGCGGACUGGCGUGCUCGAGCACUGUAGGGGCGGGUGGAAUUCCGGGUGUAGCGGUGGAAUGCGUAGAGAUCCGGAAGAACACCGGUGGCGAAGGCAGCCUUCUGGGCCAACACUGACGCUCAUGCACGAAAGCGUGGGGAGCAAACAGG